rnacentral:rRNA from 1 species
AGAGUUUGAUCAUGGCUCAGAAUGAACGUUGGCGGCGUGGAUUAGGCAUGCAAGUCGAGCGCGAUACUUUUAAAAGAUACUUCGGUUGAUUUUAAAAGUGGAAAGCGGCGAAAGGGAGAGUAACGAGUAGAUACGUACCCAGGGGUUCGGGAUAGCUGCGGGAAACUGCAGGUAAUACCGAAUAAUGUCUCCGGACCAAAAAUUUAUUGCCCCCGGAUCGGUCUGCUUACUAUUAGCUUGUUGGUGGGGUAAAGGCCUACCAAGGCAAAGAUGGUUAGCGGGUGUGAGAGCAUGGCCCGUCUCACUGGGACUGAGACACUGCCCAGACACCUACGGGUGGCUGCAGUCGAGAAUCUUCCGCAAUGGACGAAAGUCUGACGGAGCGACGCCGCGUGCGGGAUGAAGGCCUUCGGGUUGUAAACCACUGUCAGAGGGGAGCAAAUUUUGAGCGAUCCUCAAAGGAAGCACAGGCUAAGUUCGUGCCAGCAGCCGCGGUAAUACGAACUGUGCAAACGUUAUUCGGAAUCACUGGGCUUAAAGGGUGCGUAGGCGGGUUUAAAGGUCUGAUGUGAAAGCCCACGGCUCAACCGUGGAAUUGCGUUGGAAACCAUGAACCUUGAGGGAGUCAGAGGUAAGCGGAACUGAUGGUGGAGCGGUGAUAUGCGUUGAUAUCAUCAGGAACACCGGUGGCGAAAGCGGCUUACUGGGACUCUUCUGACGCUGAGGCACGAAAGCUAGGGGAGC